UACGGAGGGUGCGAGCGUUGUCCGGAUUUAUUGGGUUUAAAGGGUGCGUAGGCGGUUUGAUAAGUCUGGGGUGAAAGCCCGUUGCUCAACAACGGAACUGCCCUGGAUACUGUCAGACUUGAGGACAGACGAGGUUGGCGGAAUAGAGGGUGUAGCGGUGAAAUGCAUAGAUACCCUCUAGAACCCCGAUUGCGAAGGCAGCUGACUAGGCUGUAACUGACGCUGAGGCACGAAAGCGUGGGGAGCGAACAGG
rnacentral:rRNA from 1 species